rnacentral:lncRNA from 1 species
AGACUUUUAGCCUACAAGGGAGGGAAACGAGGGCUCACAGAGAGCUCGAGGGUGAAAUGACUUAAUAUGUGGACAGCGAUGAAAACCCUACUGUAGAGUAUUGCAUUAGUAACAGGCUUGAACCUGGGCAGACAUGGCCAUGGAGUACAGGGAUCCUUCUACACCUGGGUCACCGUCAUUUUUAACACUCGAAUGUCUCUUGCAUACGGAACCUGCACUGUAAAGAGGUUGGUUUAGUUCACCUUUGGAGGCCCAAGACUGCUGAGCUUUGGAGAAGGCCCCAGAGCUGCAUCAUGAUAUGGUGGGAGCGUGAGAGAGGAAGAUAAAACUUCCUGUGUUCAGAACCAAGGCCGCCGUGAAGUCCUGUGUUACAACACUGGUGAAGAGGCUCUUCCACAAGUGCCUUGAACUCAUCAUAGAUUUGAUUUGGAUCGUUCUUGUGGCUUUGGCCUUGAGAGCCAGAAGCAGUCUUAACCCCACUUCAGGGAAGUUACAACUGAACAUCUGAGGUUUGGCCACAGAUGUUCACCAGAGCCACCUACACCUCCCUCCUUAACCCCUCUUAUCAGGUUGGCCCAUGAGAAUGCAAUCAUCUGAUUGGUGGGGCCAGGGUCACAUGGCAGGUCCCCGAAUGGGAGGAGAAAAGAGGCAAGAUUGAGCUCCUACAUUCUACUUUGGUGGUGUGCCCCAAUGGCCUCACCUCUUGAAGAGUUCAUCACAGUCCUGUAAUACCACUGGAUUUGACCUGGCCAUUCUGGAUCCACAGCAGAGCACAACUCUUACAGAGUCACUUAUCUCACCAAGAAAUGUCCCCUUCACUAGGUGUCAGGUUGGAAGCAUUUGCCAGAGCUCUACCCACCAAAGGGAUGGCUAAAAAGAGAAGAAAAGAGAGAGGAAAGAAGGAAGACUCGAGGUGGGAAGCAACCUUAUGGCAUAUGUGAGGUUACAAUGGGCUGUGCUGAAGAUGCCGGUGGCAGUUUUAAGAGACAGAUGUCUCUGCCUUUUAUCUCUGUCCCAGUGGGCACCAGUGUGGAGAUGAAUUCUGGAAUCAGAUGGGAAGGAUAAAAAUACUACUCAAAGACAUUUCAUUUCUUUGGUGUGUCAGCAGCAUGAGUGGAGGUCAUAGGAUAACUUGCUGGAAUUGUUUUCCUCUGUUCACCCCAUGAACCCUGGGAUUCAGUUUGGAUUAUCAGGCUUGGCUGAGCCAUCUUGUCCUAUUCUCUUGUCCCCAAAUAUUAUGUUUUUUUGUUUUUUCUCAAGACAGGGUUUCUCUGUGUAGCUUUGUAGACCAGGCUGGUCUUGAACUUACAGAGAUCCGCCUGCCUCUGC